rnacentral:ncRNA from 1 species
AAAGUUUUGGUCCUAGACUUACCGUUGUUUUUUUUCAAGAUUAUACAUGCAAGCCUCAACAAACCAGUGAAAAUGCCCAUAACCCCUAAAAAGAUAAGUGGAGCAGGCAUCAGGCACAACACUUUAGCCCAUAACGCCUUGCCAUGCCACCCCCCCACGGGUUACUCAGCAGUAAUAAACAUUGGGCUAUAAGUGAAAACUUGACCCAGCUAUGAUAAAAUAGGGCUGGUUAAUUUCGUGCCAGCCACCGCGGUUAUACGAAAAGCCCAAAAUAACGAUUAACGGCGUAAAAUGUGACUAGAGAUUUAUAGAUUAAAAAGUACUCAAACCUAUAGUCUAGUUGUAAAACACUAAGACAAUAGGGAAGCUCAUUACAGGUAUUUUUAGUAUUAUUUUCUUGACCACACGAAAGCUUAGAAACAAACUAGGAUUAGAUACCCUACUAUGCUAAGCCCUAAACAUUGAUAGCUAUUAUACAAACCUUUCCGCCAGAGAACUACAAGUGAAAAACUUGAAACUCAAAGGACUUGACGGUGUCCCAUAUCGGCCUAGAGGAGCCUGUCCUGUAAUCGAUACUCCCCGUUCCACCCAACCUUAACUAGUAAAAUAUCAGCCUAUAUACCGCCGUCGACAGUCUACCCUAUGAAGGCCCAACAGUAGACAUAAUAGCCUCCCCCGCUAACACGUCAGGUCAAGGUGUAGCAAAUGUUAAGGAAGAGAUUGGCUACAUUUUUUAAAAUAAAAAACACGAAAAGCACUAUGAAACCCUGCAUGAAGGUGAAUUUAGUAGUAAAAUAGAUUAGAGUAUCUGUUUUAACAACGCUCUGGGACGCGUACACACCGCCCGUCACCCUCCUCAACAACAAAAAUAACCUUUUAUAAAUCAAAAACUCAAACUUAGAGGAGGUAAGUCGUAACAUGGUAAGCGUACCGGAAGGUGUGCUUGGACUAAC